AUUGAACGCUGGCGGCAGGCUUAACACAUGCAAGUCGAGCGGAGAUGAGGUGCUUGCACCUUAUCUUAGCGGCGGACGGGUGAGUAAUGCUUAGGAAUCUGCCUAUUAGUGGGGGACAACAUUCCGAAAGGAAUGCUAAUACCGCAUACGUCCUACGGGAGAGAGCAGGGGAUCUUCGGACCUUGCGCUAAUAGAUGAGCCUAAGUCGGAUUAGCUAGUUGGUGGGGUAAAGGCCUACCAAGGCGACGAUCUGUAGCGGGUCUGAGAGGAUGAUCCGCCACACUGGGACUGAGAAACGGCCCAGACUCCUACGGGAGGCAGCAGUGGGGAAUAUUGGACAAUGGGGGAAACCCUGAUCCAGCCAUGCCGCGUGUGUGAAGAAGGCCUUAUGGUUGUAAAGCACUUUAAGCGAGGAGGAGGCUACUGAGACUAAUACUCUUGGAUAGUGGACGUUACUCGCAGAAUAAGCACCGGCUAACUCUGUGCCAGCAGCCGCCGCCG
rnacentral:rRNA from 1 species